rnacentral:rRNA from 1 species
AUACGGAGGGUGCAAGCGUUACUCGGAAUCACUGGGCGUAAAGCGCGCGCAGGCGGUCUUUUAAGUUGGAUGUGAAAGCCUACAGCUCAACUGUAGAACUGCAUCCAAAACUAUUAGACUAGAGUCUGGGAGGGGAAGAUGGAAUUAGUUGUGUAGGGGUAAAAUCCGUAGAGAUAACUAGGAAUACCAAAAGCGAAGGCGAUCUUCUGGAACAGUACUGACGCUGAGGCGCGAAAGCGUGGGGAGCAAACAGGAUUAGAAACCCGGGUAGUCC